AAGGCGCUUCGUGGUCUAGCCUCACCCACCAGGCUGCCUCCCAACAAUGGUUGGCCCAUUUACAAGUACGGUGCUGUCUUAACACUGUUGACCCCUCUCUUACCCUGUGCCUCUGUGUCCUCUCCACUCAGCAGUAUAAAAUAUCCCACGACAGACUCCAAAACCAGGUUCAGAGAAAAGUCUAAAAGACUCUAGACAUCGUCCUGCAAAGAAUCCCAGUAAGCCUCCUUGAAAAUCUAUUCAGAGGGGGUUGUGGAUAUUGCUCGGUUUUUAGAGCAUUAGUCUAGCAUGCUCGAAGCUCUGGACUCGAUCUCCGGAAGCGUGGAAACUGGCAUAGUGGCAAGUAUCUGUAAUCUCAGUACUUGGAGGGUGGAGACAGAUAAGGAAUUCAAGGUCAUUCUUGGCUACACGGAGAAUUCAAGCUAUUCUGGUGAGCUAUGUAAAACCAUGUCUCAAAACAAAACCCAAAAUUGCUCAGAUAGAUUCUCUCCCCUCUCCUGGAAGUCAAUAAAGGGGGUGAAAGAGACAGGCAAGUGGGCAUUCUCUAACGUCAGGUGUGAAUUUAACUAUUCUGUUCAGAAUACCAGUCAGUCAGUAUGCACGUUAACCUGCCAGUCCCUGUGGCUCUUGGAAUGAUUUAGGACUUGGCAAUUUAAUUUUCAUGUACAACCCCUUUUGUAGACAAGAUACGUGCGUCUCUACUCUAUCAGGAAGAAUUCCUUAUUUAUGGUUCCUUAUUAUCAUAUCCCUGGUACAACCGCAAGAUAUAAAUAUCUGGAAAACUGUUGUGGAAUUUAACCUCUAAGUGGUAAUUACUUUCAUCCGUUUUACUGUCACUUCUUUCACUUACUCCAAGGAACUAUUAUAUGAAGUAAAAACUCCUUCUACAGGCCCUACGUACAGGAUUUCUGGGAGCCCAAUAGUAAAGAGUUUUCCAAACACAGAGACAGCAGUGUGUAAUGGGCAAGACUUUAUAAACUGUGACUGUGUACAGAGCAUGUCCCCCUGUUUAUAUCACCACUCUCCGGUGUCAUAACACUCAUUAUGUCUGAGCCUUUGAAAGUGAAGAACCAAAGAGAAGAGCACUUGCCCCAUGGCAGAGACUGAAUGUGAGAAUCUAAACGCAUGUGCAAGUCAUCCACUCUGUCCUUUAACUGAUCUCCAAAACCAAAUGUGACUUGAUAACAUCGGCUUCUGUUUUUCUCCUCACCCCAAUGCUGAGAAAUGCCUGUGUAACUGACAUAUCUUUUUGCUACUGUUAAGAUCCCUGUGAGCUAGGUCAUUCCAGAGGGGACUGGAUUUAAUCCCCAGCACUGCAAAUAAAAAAUUAUAAAUGUAAA